UUUAGAAUAUGUAUGACCCAUAUGCAUUCAGAGUUUAGAAUAGACAGUUAACUCUGGAUACAUCUAGCAUCACGUACAUACUAGCAGAAUUUAUUAGGUUGGUUGCCGAUAAAACUAAUAGAGUCAGAUUGUUGCACAAGCAAAUCAAACGGUCUUUAUUAUAGAUCAUCUUCUAAGAUAGAGAGAAAUUUCAAGUAAUAAAAAGGUUGUAUAAGAGUUUCAAAAUUAUAGAAAAUAAUUAUCAAGAAAGAAUUGAGAAAUUAGCUUUUCAUGUGAUGUGAAACACCUGCUGGAAGUUGUUAACCUCUCUAUUCAAGUGUUGCCAAAGCUAUCCAGUGUACUACAUGUUGUGAGAGAUAUGUACAGGUAGUGUUGAUGGACACACCAAGGCCAACCGGUGAUCGGGUACCUUUGGGAGACCUUACAAAUACAACGCAUGAAGGGAAUCAUACCCGACUCGAGUUGGUGCGACUAGAUGGGGAUGCUAAUGGGCAGAAGAGGCUGAGGGAGAGAGAACUAUAUGCAACAACGUCUGAUGAAAAUAGUAGUGGAAAAAAUAAGAGACUCCGUGAGUGGGGUACAACAGAUAAAAUGAGUGAAAAUAGUGACCGGCUCCAUGUGCACUCAGCCUAUAAUAAUGGUGCUGAGCAACUAUCAGAUGGGAAUACAAUAAAUGAAAGCGAUGAAAAUAGUGACUGGCUCCAUAGGCAGUCAUCCUAUUGUAACAGCUUGCAACAAUUAUCAGGUGACUAAUUUUCCAAAUAAAAGUAUUACUUGGUGCGAUGACUAUAACUUACAUAAUUUGGUUAUGGAAUGCUUUAAUUUGUAUUGUAUGGUUAUAUUUGUAGACGGUUCGGUACCUUUAAGCACGAUUGAUGGCAUUGGUGACGUGCAUAACAUUGACACUGAGGAAGGUCUCGGCAACCGGCUUGUCACGUGUUCAAAAGAGCAUAAGCGUGAUUAUGACAGAGCACGAAAUGCCGCAAUGUCUCCUGAACAAAGGGCGCUAUUGAAUAAAAGACGACGUGAAUUGUAUGCAACCAAAAAAGCACCAAAAAAGUCUACAAGGAUGCUACAAAUGACUCCAAAUGAGACUGCCCAGUCAACAAGUAUGGUAAUCAAAUUGAUUUUCU